rnacentral:rRNA from 1 species
UACGUAGGUGGCAAGCGUUAUCCGGAUUUAUUGGGCGUAAAGGGAACGCAGGCGGUCUUUUAAGUCUGAUGUGAAAGCCUUCGGCUUAACCGGAGUAGUGCAUUGGAAACUGGGAGACUUGAGUGCAGAAGAGGAGAGUGGAAUUCCUUGUGUAGCGGUGAAAUGCGUAGAUAUAAGGAAGAACACCAGUGGCGAAGGCGGAUGACUGGACGGCAACUGACGGUGAGGCGCGAAAGCGUGGGGAGCAAACAGG